rnacentral:rRNA from 1 species
UUCUGGCUCAGGAUGAACGCUAGCUACAGGCUUAACACAUGCAAGUCGAGGGGCAGCAUGAAGUUUGCUGCAAACUUGAUGGCGACCGGCGCACGGGUGAGUAACGCGUAUCCAACCUUCCCUAUACUAGAGGAUAGCCCGGCGAAAGUCGGAUUAAUACUCUAUGUUCUUCGUAGAAGACAUCUGAAAUGAAGCAAAGGUUUACCGGUAUAGGAUGGGGAUGCGUCUGAUUAGGUUGUUGGCGGGGUAACGGCCCACCAAGCCCACGAUCAGUAGGGGUUCUGAGAGGAAGGUCCCCCACAUUGGAACUGAGACACGGUCCAAACUCCUACGGGAGGCAGCAGUGAGGAAUAUUGGUCAAUGGACGAGAGUCUGAACCAGCCAAGUAGCGUGCAGGAUGACGGCCCUAUGGGUUGUAAACUGCUUUUAUACAGGGAUAAAGUGCACUACGUGUAGUGUUUUGUAGGUACUGUAUGAAUAAGGACCGGCUAAUUCCGUGCCAGCCGCUGC